CACGUAGGGACCAAGCGUUGUCCGGAAUUACUGGGCGUAAAGGGCGCGUAGGCGGCGUGCUAAGUCGAACGUGAAAUCCCCGGGCUCAACCCGGGAACUGCGUCCGAAACUGGCAUGCUUGAAUCCGGGAGAGGGAUGUGGAAUUCCAGGUGUAGCGGUGAAAUGCGUAGAUAUCUGGAGGAACAUCGGUGGCGAAGGCGACAUCCUGGACCGGUAUUGACGCUGAGGCGCGAAAGCCAGGGGAGCAAACGGG
rnacentral:rRNA from 1 species